rnacentral:misc_RNA from 1 species
GAAAUGCGAUAAGUAAUGUGAAUUGCAGAAUUCAGUGAAUCAUCGAAUCUUUGAACGCACAUUGCGCCCGCCAGUAUUCUGGCGGGCAUGCCUGUCCGAGCGUCAUUUCAACCAUCAAGCCCCCGGGCUUGUGUUGGGGACCUGCGGCUGCCCGCAGGCCCUGAAAACCAGUGGCGGGCUCGCUGUAACACCGAGCGUAGUAGCAAUCACCUCGCUCAGGGCGUGCUGCGGGUUCCGGCCGUUAAACAGCCUUACAAAACCCAAGGUUGACCUCGGAUCAGGUAGGAAGACCCGCUGAACUUAAGC